GACGAACGCUGGCGGCGUGCUUAACACAUGCAAGUCGAACGGAAAGGCCCUGCUUUUGUGGGGUGCUCGAGUGUCGAACGGGUGAGUAACACGUGAGUAACCUGCCCUUGACUUUGGGAUAACUUCAGGAAACUGGGGCUAAUACCGGAUAGGAGCUCCUGCUGCAUGGUGGGGGUUGGAAAGUUUCGGCGGUUGGGGAUGGACUCGCGGCUUAUCAGCUUGUUGGUGGGGUAGUGGCUUACCAAGGCUUUGACGGGUAGCCGGCCUGAGAGGGUGACCGGCCACAUUGGGAAUGAGAUACGGCCCAGACUACUACGGGAGGCAGCAGUGGGGAAUAUUGCACAAUGGGCGGAAGCCUGAUGCAGCAACGCCGCGUGCGGGAUGACGGCCUUCGGGUUGUAAACCGCUUUCGCCUGUGACGAAGCGUGAGUGACGGUAAUGGGUAAAGAAGCACCGGCUAACUACGUG
rnacentral:rRNA from 1 species